AGCGGGGUGGGGUAGCCAGGUUAACCCGCUGGGCUCAUAACCCAGAGAUCGGACGUUCAAAUCGUCCCCCCGCUACCA
rnacentral:tRNA from 1 species